rnacentral:rRNA from 1 species
AGAGUUUGAUCCUGGCUCAGGAUGAACGCUAGCUACAGGCUUAACACAUGCAAGUCGAGGGGAAACGGCAUUGAGUGCUUGCACUCUUUGGACGUCGACCGGCGCACGGGUGAGUAACGCGUAUCCAACCUUCCCAUUACUGUGGGAUAACCUGCCGAAAGGCAGACUAAUACCGCAUAGUCUUCGAUGACGGCAUCAGAUUUGAAGUAAAGAUUUAUCGGUAAUGGAUGGGGAUGCGUCUGAUUAGCUUGUUGGCGGGGUAACGGCCCACCAAGGCUACGAUCAGUAGGGGUUCUGAGAGGAAGGUCCCCCACAUUGGAACUGAGACACGGUCCAAACUCCUACGGGAGGCAGCAGUGAGGAAUAUUGGUCAAUGGGCGAGAGCCUGAACCAGCCAAGUAGCGUGCAGGAUGACGGCCCUAUGGGUUGUAAACUGCUUUUGUAUGGGGAUAAAGUCAAUCACGUGUGAUUGUUUGCAGGUACCAUACGAAUAAGGACCGGCUAAUUCCGUGCCAGCAGCCGCGGUAAUACGGAAGGUCCGGGCGUUAUCCGGAUUUAUUGGGUUUAAAGGGAGCGUAGGCCGGAGAUUAAGUGUGUUGUGAAAUGUAGACGCUCAACGUCUGACUUGCAGCGCAUACUGGUUUCCUUGAGUACGCACAACGUUGGCGGAAUUCGUCGUGUAGCGGUGAAAUGCUUAGAUAUGACGAAGAACUCCGAUUGCGAAGGCAGCUGACGGGAGCGCCACUGACGCUUAAGCUCGAAGGUGCGGGUAUCGAACAGGAUUAGAUACCCUGGUAGUCCGCACAGUAAACGAUGGAUGCCCGCUGUUGGUACCUGGUAUCAGCGGCUAAGCGAAAGCAUUAAGCAUCCCACCUGGGGAGUACGCCGGCAACGGUGAAACUCAAAGGAAUUGACGGGGGCCCG